AGUAACGACAAUGCGAGUGAAAAACUCGCACGCUGAAAGACCAAGGGUUCCAGUCCAACGUUAAUCGGGGCUGGGUGAGUCGACCCCUAAGGCGAGGCCGAGAGGCGUAGUCGAUGGGAAAUUGGUUAAUAUUCCAAUACUUCUGUUUAAUGCGAUGAGAGGACGGAGAAGGUUAAGUCAGCCUGGCGUUGGUUGUCCAGGUGGAAGACAGUAGG
rnacentral:rRNA from 1 species